CGCGCGCUUCGCUCCCUGCCGCUGCUGGUCAUGGCUGCGCGCGCGUGAGGAAAAUCGAAAGAGAGAGAGCUGAGCCUUUUACGCACAAAGUGCCGCGGAGUAGCCUCAUAUGACACCGCUGCAGCUCAGCGCAGGCUUCGGCUGGCCGCCCUCAGCCGCUGCUCAAUGAAGGGAUUAUCCGCUCCCUCGCCUCAUUUCGCAGAUGCUUUUGCACGGAUGCUCCCCCCCUCCAUCAACCGUCCCUGUCAGUGACUCCAUGUUCACCUCGCCAGGACUGCGGACGCUCACAGUCUAUGAUGCUGAGGGGGCUGAUCUGAACGCAUCUUGGGAAUCAGUGGAGGCGCAGCUGGCCGUCUGGAGAAGUCUUUACGCCCGGAUCGGGUUGAACACUGUGGGGCGUGAAGUCAUGGUGUCCACGGCGCCGUGAGAACUUUACCUCCCCUCUUUCUCCCCUCCUGGCUUUUGGUUUUAGAUGUUCAUCAUUGGGGUCGUGCUUCCUCGGGAAAUUCUCCACCCGAUUUCCCCUUCAAUUAUGUUUACUUUUGCUGCUUUCUGCUACAUGCUGUCUCUGGUCCUCUGUGUUUCCCUUAUCUUCUUCGCAAUAUGGCAUAUAACAGCUUUUGAUGAGCUCCAGGCUGACUUUAAGGUGCCGAUCGAUCAAGGCAAUCCGCUCCAUGCGAGAGAGAGACUGCGAAACAUUGAGAGGAUCUGCAACCUACUAAGGAAGUUGGUGCUGCCAGAAUACUCCAUCCAUGGGCUGUUCUGCAUAAUGUUCCUGUGUGCCCAGGAGUGGCUGACUGUCGGCCUUAACAUCCCCCUCCUCUUCUACAACACAUGGAGCAGGUACUUCCAUUCCCCAACGGACACUAAGGAGCUCAUCUAUGACCCAGCAUCUGUGAUGAACGGCGACACGCUCAAGUUCUGCCAAAAGGAGGCGUGGUGCAAGCUGUCCUUCUUUGUCCUGUCCUUCUUCUACUAUCUCUACUGUUCUCCUCUCUAUGUCUAACAAUGCUGUUAUUAAUCACUCCGGAUUCCUGUCCCAUGUGUCAUGUGGGUGCUGCAGUGUGUGGAACCUGGAAAUAUCCCUCUAUUAGAUCUUAACAGUGGAAUCACUUAAAGUAUGAUCUAUUCCUUGGUUACCUCAUAACAACUGCUUUCUUAGCAUCCUGGGACGAGUGCUGACGCCUCUAGACACGUUGGAUAUGGCGGACCAUGACGGUUUAGGAGCGAUAGUAGAACAUAAUAAAGGGAACUUAUAUUUUUUCUGUUUUGUUUUUUUUUUCCGUGGAGCCAAACAAACUCAGCUGGACCCGAAGCUUCUUUUCAGAAUUGCCAAGACCCAAACGACAUCACAUCUUUGACUGUAUAGGAAGAACUUUGAACUAAAUCUGUUGUUUACAGUUUGCUCUCAGCAGGACCCGAGUUAUUCACUGCCUGGCUACGUUUGUAAUACACACACAUAUAAAAACAUAUUUAUAUACAUAUAUAUAUACAAAGACACAUCCUCCUCUGCUGUGCCGCCAAGUUUGCUGCACACCGGCGCCAGCGGUAGCCUGGAGGACAUACGGCACAGUAGCGUUUGCACAGUUUGUCUCAGGCACAGCACAAUGAAGCACUGUCCAGACCAGUCCUCCUUCUCACCUCACCCACCGUAGCUUCUUCAGAGACCCCAGAGAAGGACACAGGAACAGCAAGCAAACGGAUCACACUGUUCAGAGAAAGAGGAGGGAGCUUGGGGAGGAAUGAGGCAUUGGAUUAAAUGGUUCUCCAUGUAUGCCUCCCCUCCACAGGAGAACACAAACACAGUCCUGGAACUGUGGGAUUUUCUUUUAAAACUUUGCAUUAAUGGCUUUUGUGACGUGUGCAUUUUGGUGUAUUCUUUAAUCAAAAGGCAUUUCUGUUUUGUUGACAGAGAAAGCUACUUGGCAAAUGCCCCCUUAGUGUUGUCUUAGUGUUGUUCUUUUGUGGGAAAACUUCAAAUAAAAGAAAAAAUGGGAUCAUGUGGAAGAUUUUGUUUUAGAGAAACACAUGCUCUUUGCACAAAUGGUUAACUUGCUCUUGCACAAUCCUGGCAAUAUCUGCUUCAGACAGUAGAGAUGUUUUAUUAUAUUCUGGCUUCGCAGGUGAAGGUCUUCCAACAUGUAAAGUGCGCGGCCUUGUCUGAACACAGGGACAAAAUGUGAAUCUUUUCUAGCUCUCUUGGACCAAAAUGUUGUAUUUAAUAAUUUAAAUAUAUUAAUUCAUUGGUAUUCAUGAUAUGCUGAUGGCCUAAACAUUCUUUUUCCAAACUGACUUUAAAAAAUAAGAAUAAUAUAAAAUCAGCUUCAGCAAAUGUUUCAGGGUUUAUGGGACGUUUUUAGGAUUCCUCUGAUAAACUGUCAGAUAGUCAGUCAAAUAACUUAAAUCAGCUGGAACCUGAAUCAGCAAGAAAAGGUGUUUGAUGCUGGAUCUCCAUGUAGCUCAGCCUUCAAGCCACCAGGCCGCUCUUCAGAUCUUCGCCCACCAUCUUUCACCUGCCAGGUGCUUCUAUGUGGUAGCGGCGCAGGAGGGAAUGGCCCCCUUCUUCUUUUCUCAUCUUAUAACUUGAGCAUUUUCUAUCUACUGUGUAUGUAUGUGAUCAGAAA